rnacentral:misc_RNA from 1 species
ACUAAAUUCUUUCGAGGGAGAACAUCCUUUCCACAAUUACACAAUACGAUCCAAGUACAGAAAACAAUCUCCUGCCAGAAACUUGUUAAAAAAUGACAGUCUCUUAAAAAAAGGGAGGCCCUCCAGUGAGGAAGAAAUAUCUGGGUCUGAGGAAAUUGAUGGAGAACAAAACCGUAAAGAGCAGGGGGUUGUGACGAUUGUUGAGGCUGAAAAUCAAAAUGCAGAAGGCAACUGUAAUUUGAAAGUUA